UACGGGGGGGGCAAGCGUUGUUCGGAAUUACUGGGCGUAAAGGGCCAGUAGGCGGCCAACUAAGUCCGACGUGAAAUCCCAAGGCUUAACCUUGGAACUGCGUCGGAUACUGGAUGGCUUGAAUUCGGGAGAGGGAUGCAGAAUUCCAGGUGUAGCGGUGAAAUGCGUAGAUAUCUGGAGGAAUACCGGUGGCGAAGGCGGCAUCCUGGACCGACAUUGACGCUGAAAACCGAAAGCUAGGGGAGCAAACGGG
rnacentral:rRNA from 1 species